AAUUUACCUUCAUAUACAGAGAUUUAAAAUAUAAGUCUGAAAUAUUCAGCUUUUGAUUUCUCCUUAUUUUUCUUUCCCAGGUAGCUUCAGAAGUAUAGAAAUAUUAACACGAAGCUUCCACAUUUUCAUUCUACAAACAAGGGAACAUGUUAAAGGCCCACAUCACCCUGUGGGACAGGCAGCUGCGCAAAGCUAGUUCUUGCAUAGGGAUGAAAAUUUGUCCCAUUCACUUGGACACCAUGAUCAUUUUCUACUUGGGAUUCCUUCUGUGUCAAAAUAAUGUUCUAAUAGAAUCAGAGUUUAACAGUCUUAAAUUCAGAAAGCUGUAAACUGGAAAAAGAUGAUUGGUAUGUUAAAACAUGUUAAACAAGUGGUCAGGUAAGAUGAUCUCUUAGGAAUAAUUUUACAUAAAGUUCCCAAACAACUUGCAUGAUGUGAAAAAUCACAUGGCUUUCGUGGCCUUGUCUAGAAAUGGCACAGUCACUUUCCAAGAUGGAAUGGUCUCUCCUUUCACUUGGAGGAAAUCGACAGCUGGCAGUCAAACUUGAUUGCCAGCUGAAAUUCCUUGUUAUCCUUGAAUCCAAACAUGGCCAGUCACUGACAGAAUAGUUAUGGUGGAGCUGACUAUCCCAUAAGAAAAGCAGACAGAGGCUUCUCAUGAGAGAAAGAAGGAAAGGUAUGCAGAACUGUCAGCCACAUGUACAUAGGCAGGCUGGAGAGCUCACACCUUGCCUGUGGAAGUCAGGUGCUGAUAUUUCAGUUAAAAAACAUUUGGUGUUGCAGGUAAUGCCUUGUAACGCCGUUAUUCCCAUCGCUGGUAGGGAGACAUUUCUACUGCUGCUCCACCACACAAAGAUGUUCUGGCAUUAAUAGAGUAAGUCAUCAGUGAAGGAUGUGUCCCAGCCCUACAAUGUUAUUAGAGGUGAGAAUUGGGAGAAAUGCCCAAUAUAUAAGGUUUCAGUUGACUGAAAAAACCUUUUUGUUUAGUCUGCAGGCACUUCAGUGUAAUCUGUUGUCACACAUGGCUUUUCUCAGGGUCCUCCUGUGUUUCUUCCUAAUUGCUGAAUCAACAGCUCUGCAGCAGGAUGUGUAGGUGAGGUUUGGAGAGGAUGUCACUCUUCAGUGCCAGAUUUCCACAGAUUAAAUAAUAAUCUCAGUGCUGAAGUGGAGCAGAGCUGACCUGAACACAGGCGGCUACGUCUACUUCUACAGGAACAACCGAUUCUAUGAAAACUACCAACAUCUAUCUUUUCAUGGCCGAGUGAAGCUGAGGGACCCGGAGAUGAAGGAUGGAGACGUUUCUCUGAUCCUGAACAGCGUCACGUUUAAUGACACUGGGAUUUAUGAGUGUCACAUAGCUGUGAGGAACCCUGUGAGAAAUAAAAGAGCUCACUCUGAGAUCAGUCACUUCAUCAACUAUAGUUACAGGUGAAACACGUAACAGCAUGUUUGAGCAGCCCAUCACAGAAGGAGAACAUGGAGGUGGAAACAUGCAUUUUGUUCAAGAGGAAGAAACUCCAACUGUCCUGAUCGUUGUUCCUGUUGUUGUUGCUGCUGUCCUUGUUGUUACUAUAGGUGGUUCUGUGCUACUGUGGACAUUUAAAAGAAAGAAGCAGCAAACUACUGAGGCAA